rnacentral:lncRNA from 1 species
UUAAACUCAAAUUGGAUCUCGUGUUCUGAUUGUAGCGCGUCCCAUCGUGUUUCUCAUCAUUUGGAGUGUUGGAUUUGCCACGUCAAUUAAUAAGGCGUGAUCCAACGCUCUUGGUUUUUUCUGAUUUUAAUUAUUUUUAUUUUAUUAUUUUAAAUUGCUUUUUAUUUAAAAAAUUGUAGUAAUUUCAUUUUUUAUCCAAAAAUUCCCAAAAUAAUUUCUAAAAUU